GCCUCGGUGGCUCAGUUGGGUGAGCAUCUGACUUCGGCUCAGGUCAUGAUCUCACGAUUCGUGGGUUUGAGCCCCACGAGUGGCU
rnacentral:tRNA from 1 species